UACGUAGGGUGCAGGCGUUAAUCGGAAUUACUGGGCGUAAAGCGUGCGCAGGCGGUUUGUUAAGUCAGGUGUGAAAUCCCCGGGCUUAACCUGGGAACUGCGCUUGUUACUGGCAAGCUGGAGUGUGGCAGAGGGGGGUGGAAUUCCACGUGUAGCAGUGAAAUGCGUAGAGAUGUGGAGGAACACCGAUGGCGAAGGCAGCCCCCUGGGCUAACACUGACGCUGAGGUGCGAAAGCGUGGGGAGCAAACAGG
rnacentral:rRNA from 1 species